UACGUAGGUGGCAAGCGUUGUCCGGAAUUAUUGGGCGUAAAGGGUGCGUAGGCGGCUUCUUAAGUGGGAUGUGAAAUCCCGGGGCUUAACUCCGGGGCUGCAUUUCAAACUGGGAGGCUAGAGUGCAGGAGAGGAAAGUGGAAUUCCCAGUGUAGCGGUGAAAUGCGUAGAGAUUGGGAGGAACACCAGUGGCGAAGGCGGCUUUCUGGACUGUAACUGACGCUGAGGCACGAAAGUGUGGGGAGCAAACAGG
rnacentral:rRNA from 1 species